CGUUCACUCCUACGGGAGGCAGCAGUAGGGAAUCUUCCACAAUGGGCGCAAGCCUGAUGGAGCAACACCGCGUGAGUGAAGAAGGGUUUCGGCUCGUAAAGCUCUGUUGUUAAAGAAGAACACGUAUGAGAGUAACUGUUCAUACGUUGACGGUAUUUAACCAGAAAGUCACGGCUAACUACGUGCCAGCAGCCGCGGUAAUACGUAGGUGGCAAGCGUUAUCCGGAUUUAUUGGGCGUAAAGAGAGUGCAGGCGGUUUUCUAAGUCUGAUGUGAAAGCCUUCGGCUUAACCGGAGAAGUGCAUCGGAAACUGGAUAACUUGAGUGCAGAAGAGGGUAGUGGAACUCCAUGUGUAGCGGUGGAAUGCGUAGAUAUAUGGAAGAACACCAGUGGCGAAGGCGGCUACCUGGUCUGCAACUGACGCUGAGACUCGAAAGCAUGGGUAGCGAACAGGAUUAGAUACCCUGGUAG
rnacentral:rRNA from 1 species